UCAGACGAACGCUGGCGGCGUGCCUAAUACAUGCAAGUCGAGCGGACGGAUGGGAGCUUGCUCCCUGAAGUCAGCGGCGGACGGGUGAGUAACACGUGGGCAACCUGCCUGUAAGACUGGGAUAACUUCGGGAAACCGGAGCUAAUACCGGAUAAUGCAUAACCUCUCAUGAGGUUAUGCUGAAAGAUGGUUUCGGCUAUCACUUACAGAUGGGCCCGCGGCGCAUUAGCUAGUUGGUGAGGUAACGGCUCACCAAGGCAACGAUGCGUAGCCGACCUGAGAGGGUGAUCGGCCACACUGGGACUGAGACACGGCCCAGACUCCUACGGGAGGCAGCAGUAGGGAAUCUUCCGCAAUGGACGAAAGUCUGACGGAGCAACGCCGCGUGAGUGAUGAAGGUUUUCGGAUCGUAAAACUCUGUUGUUAGGGAAGAACAAGUGCCGGAGUAACUGCCGGCACCUUGACGGUACCUAACCAGAAAGCCACGGCUAACUACGUGCCAGCAGCCGCGGUAAUACGUAGGUGGCAAGCGUUGUCCGGAAUUAUUGGGCGUAAAGCGCGCGCAGGCGGUCUCUUAAGUCUGAUGUGAAAGCCCACGGCUCAACCGUGGAGGGUCAUUGGAAACUGGGGGACUUGAGUGCAGAAGAGGAAAGUGGAAUUCCACGUGUAGCGGUGAAAUGCGUAGAGAUGUGGAGGAACACCAGUGGCGAAGGCGACUUUCUGGUCUGUAACUGACGCUGAGGCGCGAAAGCGUGGGGAGCAAACAGGAUUAGAUACCCUGGUAGUCCACGCCGUAAACGAUGAGUGCUAAGUGUUAGAGGGUUUCCGCCCUUUAGUGCUGCAGCAAACGCAUAAGCACUCCGCCUGGGGAGACGCCCG
rnacentral:rRNA from 1 species